rnacentral:rRNA from 1 species
UACGAAGGGGCUAGCGUUGUUCGGAAUUACUGGGCGUAAAGCGCACGUAGGCGGAUAUUUAAGCCAGGGUGAAAUCCCGGAGCUCAACUCCGGAACUGCCUUUGAUACUGGAUAUCUAGAGACCGAGAGAGGUAAGUGGAACUCCUAGUGUAGAGGUGGAAUUCGUAGAUAUUAGGAAGAACACCAGUGGCGAAGGCGGCUUACUGGCUCGGAACUGACGCUGAGGCGCGAAAGCGUGGGGAGCAAACAGGAUUAGAUACCCCGGUAGUCCCUGAG